GUGAAGUUGGAAUUGCUAGUAAUCGCGGAUCAGCAUGCCGCGGUGAAUACGUUCCCGGGCCUUGUACACACCGCCCGUCACACCAUGGGAGUUUGUAACACCCGAAGUCAGUAUCCUAACCGCAAGGGGGGAGCUGCCGAAGGCGGGAUAAGCGACUGGGGUGAAGUCGUAACAAGGUAUC
rnacentral:rRNA from 1 species